CAGGCUUGUGGGAGUCGCAGAGGCUGCAGCUCAGGGCCCCACCCCCAGCAUUCACCUGAGGCCAGAGCUCCAAGCCGGCCUGGGAGGGAAGGGCUGUGUACCGUUGCCCUGGAUACCAGCACCCAGAAGGGGAGGGGCUGUUUGUUACCUGGAGCCUCCAGGGAGACCCCAGACCAGGCCGCUGGGCUGUUGGAGCGCCUUGGUGUGAUCCAGCUCAUGGUAAUCUGGAAUUCCUGGGCUCAAGCGAUCCUCCCACUUCUGCCUCCUGAGUUACUGGGACUACAGGCGCCUGCCUGCACCGCCAGGCCCAGCCCACAGCCCCUUCGACCUCAGUGACCAGCACUCAUCCCCAAGCUGGAAGCCUCACCUUUUCCAGCCAUCUCCACACCCCCUGGGUCACCCCCAGGGACCCCCGUGGGCAUUGCCAUUAUCACGACAAGCAUUCCCCCUCUUCUAGGACAAAAGUGAGGCCAGACCUGACCCACAAGACCCAAGCACUCCCGCCUUCA